rnacentral:misc_RNA from 1 species
AAGUCUAGAAAUGUUCAGUGGAUGUGGGUUAAUCGACAGCACCAAUUCUAGUACUUGACUGGUACUUUUAUUUAUCGACCAGGAGGGAUAAAUAGCAAAACUGACCUCCGCAAAAGUUGAACUAAGAACCUAAGGAAGAAGGAAAACAUCGCCCCUGGACACUACAAUAGGCCAGUUUCGACUCAAGUGCAGUUUAGUCGAUAAAUGACGUGUCAGGUGGGCCGUCUGAAGGCAGUAAAAGUUUCUUCUAAGUGAUUAACUCAUAGCUGGGCAGACGCGCGCACACGAACCCGUAUCGCAUAUCCACCUCUGUCAAUAUUUAUUCAUAGAGAAAGACAAAGAGAUCGAUAUAUAUUGGCAUUUAUAUACAGUGAUAAAUGAAUUCUGAAAAAAGUAUGAUCAAGCGAAACGGAGCUGCAAUCCGGAAUCUACUGAUUGCCAUAACCUUGGUGUCUUUAAUGUAUUUUGUCUAUAUGUAUCAUGACAUCCAGUCCCGCCUUCGACAUUCCGAAAUUGUUAGUGAGAAGUUUAAAAGAGACAGAGAAUCUUUAUCGUCCCAACUCAACGAAAUAAACUUAGAAAAAUCAAAUAUGAAAGAAAAAUAUUACAAAGACAGACAAGAACUAGCUGCAAGAUUUUCAGAAGCUGAACAAAAGCAUAAAAUGUUACAAACUCAACAUCAAGAUUUAGAGAAUGAGUACAAUAGACUACAACAAAAAUAUGAAAAAUUCUCUGAAGACAACAGACAAAAAGAUAUGAACAGAAAUCAGGAAUAUAUGCAGUUAAAGCAAGAAAAAGAAAUGGAGAUUGUUAAACUCAAAGAUGAGAAUGCUAACAUUGUGCGAGAGUACAAACAAUUGAAAUCGGAGUUAGAUGAAUUGAAGAAGCAAGUUGAACUACAACAGCAAGAGGCUGUUCAAGCGUGGAACUACGCAAGUCGAUUAAAGAAAACAGUUGACCAUUUACAGCUCUCGUUGAACCGUGAAACAAGAACUUCAGAUAUGCUGAGAAAAUACCUCAGCAUAGCAAAGGCUUUAAACAUGCAGAAAAGUGCUGGCAUUGGUGGAGGAGCCGGAGUUGGUGCUGCUGCUGGUGGUGCUGGUGUUGGUGGUGCUGGUGCUGGUGUUGGUGGAGCUGCUGGUGCUGGUGCAGGCGGUAUUGAAGUCAGAGGCAUUGGUGCAGGUGGCGAUGGUGCCGGUGCAGGUGCUGGUGCUGGUGGCCUGGGUGUCGAUGGCGCUGGUGCUAACAGUCAUUUAGGCCUGCCCGGAAAUGCCCUAAACAACCAUCAAAAUGUUGGCAUGGACAAACUUAAUGCUUUCGAAAAUAAACUCAACCCGAACCAUUUGGAACAGCCACAUGAAAGAAAUGAUAUUGACCAUCAAGACGUUAUUCCCAAACAACCAGUUGGUCUUCAGAAUGAACAAAACUUACAAAUUCAACCAGCACAACCAGCCUUUGGAGAUAAUUUACAUCAUGGUGCAGACCUUGAUCACGACAAAGAUGCUGAGGCUAACAACUUGGCUUUACAAAAACAGGAAAUUUUUAAUCGGCAACAUGAAGGUGCUAAUGACCAUAACCAGGUUCAACCCCCAAUGAAUGAUAAAAUUGAUAAUGAUGACAAUGCUGAUGUCAAUCAGUCAAACGAAGACAACGACAUCCUCAACAUGCUUAGUAACCGAAGACAUGGCAAUAACAAAAUACCUCCUGACUUCAACCUCAACAAUGGCCUGAAUAAUGAGGGAAACCAACCAUUGGAGAGGGUAAAUGUUGAAGACAAUCUCGCUGGACGUCUUCUUCCCAAUGACCAUCAAGGAAUCAUAGAAAACAAAAUACCCCCAGAAAUCAUUAAGGGUGACUUGAUUAACGAAAAUAAACUGGAGAAGGACAAUGCCUUUGAACAUGACCUUCAGUUGGAUGGUAGAGAAGUUCAGGGUGACAGAUGGCGAAAUCAAUAGAAUGAAGGGUGAUGUAUCUCGAGGUCCAGCUUCCAAAGAAUAUGGAAAACAAGAAAUUAGAAUCAAAUGAUAACCAAUUAUACAAUGAAGAAGAAGAAGAUGAUAAUUAUCAAUGAACAAUUUCAUUCAUAGAGAUCAGUCAUUAACUGUUAAGGACCUCGUUAAAAGUUCCUGCAAAAGAUUCACCUAAAUUUUCCACAUGAGUUUUCAUCAAUACAAAUGGAAGAGGAAAGAAUAUUUUUUUUCAGGUUUAUUAACCUCAACAUUUCUGUGGUUCUGUGGUAAUGAUGGUGGCUAAGCGGGUAGGACAUUUUUUUUUUUUGUGAAAUACAAAUUUUCAAAUGGCUUAAUCUUUAUAUAUAUAUAUACA